rnacentral:lncRNA from 1 species
CAGUCAGAGUUCGGGGAUGAAGUCCGGCUCUCGUAGGAGUCCGGAUGAAGACUACCUGCAGUCGGAGUUCGGAGAAGAAGUCCGGCUCUCGUAGGAGUCUGGAUGAAGACUACCUGCAGUCGGAGUUCGGGGAAGAAGUCCGGCUCUCGUAGGAGUCUGGAUGAAGACUACCUAUAGUCGGAGUUCGGGGAAGAAGUCUGACUCCCAUAGGAGUCUGGAUGAAGACUACCUGC